GCGCGGAUGGCGGAAUGGUAGACGCGCAAGUUUGAGGUGCUUGUGGCCGAAAGGCUGUGCGGGUUCAAGUCCCGCUUCGCGCACCA
rnacentral:tRNA from 1 species